UACGAAGGGGGCUAGCGUUGUUCGGAAUCACUGGGCGUAAAGCGCGCGUAGGCGGGUUAUUUAGUUAGGGGUGAAAUCCCGAGGCUCAACCUCGGAACUGCCUCUAAUACUGGUAACCUAGAGAUUGAGAGAGGUAAGUGGAACUCCUAGUGUAGAGGUGAAAUUCGUAGAUAUUAGGAAGAACACCAGUGGCGAAGGCGGCUUACUGGCUCAAUACUGACGCUGAGGUGCGAAAGCGUGGGGAGCAAACAGG
rnacentral:rRNA from 1 species